UUACAUAUUGAACGUUCAGGUGCAUUCGUUUGCUUAAUAGGGAACACCGUAAAUACGGGACGGGCCCACCGCUGUGACCGGGGACGAAAACCGCAAUAUGCCACUGCCAUGCAUGGAACGCCUUCAGGGGCUGACUUUUUGACGGGAAGGCGCGGUCAUUAGGAAAAUCCGGGAGUCAGAAGACCUGCCUGAAAAGAAGCGGGAUU
rnacentral:ncRNA from 2 species